UACGGGGGGAGCAAGCGUUGUUCAGAUUUACUGGGCGUAAAGGGCGCGUAGGCGGCCACUGCAAGUCAGUUGUGAAAUCUCCGGGCUUAACCCGGAAAGGUCAACUGAUACUGCAGGGCUAGAGUGCAGAAGGGGCAACUGGAAUUCUCGGUGUAGCGGUGAAAUGCGUAGAUAUCGAGAGGAACACCUGCGGCGAAGGCGGGUUGCUGGGCUGACACUGACGCUGAUGUGCGAAAGCUAGGGGAGCGAA
rnacentral:rRNA from 1 species